rnacentral:snRNA from 1 species
GAUAACGCAGGUGUCCUAAGA